UUGCUUGCAAUUUAUGAUGGCGACCGGCGCACGGGUGAGUAACGCGUAUCCAACCUACCCAUUACUAGGGAAUAACCCAGCGAAAGUUGGCCUAAUGCCCUAUGUAGUCGUUUGAUCGCCUGAGAUUUCGACGAAAGAUUUAUCGGUAUUGGAUGGGGAUGCGUCUGAUUAGCUUGUUGGCGGGGUAAAAGCCCACCAAGGCAACGAUCAGUAGGGGUUCUGAGAGGAAGGUCCCCCACAUUGGAACUGAGACACGGUCCAAACUCCUACGGGAGGCAGCAGUGAGGAAUAUUGGUCAAUGGGCGAGAGCCUGAACCAGCCAAGUAGCGUGCAGGAUGACGGCCCUAUGGGUUGUAAACUGCUUUUAUAUGGGAAUAAAGUGAGGGACGUGUCCCUUAUUGCAUGUACCAUAUGAAUAAGGACCGGCUAAUUCCGUGCCAGCAGCCGCGGUAAUACGGAAGGUCCAGGCGUUAUCCGGAUUUAUUGGGUUUAAAGGGAGCGUAGGCUGUUUGUUAAGCGUGUUGUGAAAUGUAAGAGCUCAACUUUUAGAUUGCAGCGCGAACUGGCAGACUUGAGUGCGCACAACGUAGGCGGAAUUCAUGGUGUAGCGGUGAAAUGCUUAGAUAUCAUGACGAACUCCGAUUGCGAAGGCAGCUUACGGGAGCGCAACUGACGC
rnacentral:rRNA from 1 species